GGUCAGUGUGGUAUAGUGGUUUGAGCACUGGACUACAACUCUGGAGACCAGGGUUCAAAUCCCCCCUUGAGCA